ACAAGAUUUCAAAUAUCUCCUGCACCUAACCUUCUCCCUGGUGAACCACACGGCGCAACAGGACUCUUGCAUGGUGGUUUCCGGCAGAAAAGAGAUGGCGAAGGCGAGAGACAGAACCGAAGAUUUCAAAGAUGCAGUGCACCAUAGUGCUCGCUCUCUCUCGACUACGAUGAUAUAAGAGUAAGACUGUAGUUGUUUCAUACAAUAUACUUGGUGUUGACAGUGCAUCUAAGCAUCAAGAUUUGUAUUCUAACAUUCGACAUAGUUUCCAGGAUUACACGGGGGACGCACGUGAUGGAUGUGAAAGACAAAUCAUAGGUUUACAUUGCCCCUAAAGUUCCAAACUCAGCCUGAGCACAAUAUAUUUUGAAAUUUUUAUGCAGAUUUGAUCUUUGACAUCAAGAAGAUUUGGCUUGCAUAACAAUGUAGCCCAGCUUUAUGUUUAUGAGCUUUUCAAUGUCUAUUUCAAGGCAAUUGCUACAAAAAUGGAAUGUGGAAGAACUAAGGCUUGCAACUAAUGCAAAAGGAGUCACUUAUCUUCAACACUCUCAAAGCUAUGCAAUGCUUAUAGUGGUGUUCCGGUAUGAUGUUUUAAUUUGACAACUAUGAGUCUAAUCCAACUUAAAAAAAAUUAUUAAUUAGCUAUUUGUGUCACUUUUUUUACUUGAUUAGUUUAUCCUUGAAAUAUUGAUAUGAGAAAUUCCUUGAACAAUUUUCAUUGGAUAUUCGGACAUUUGUGAUAUUUCCCCCAGAAUCUUGCAUUAAUCAUAUAGUUACUUCUGCUGGGAAAAACUAGAUAUGAUAUUGGUGAGCCCUUGACAACAUCAUACCACUCCAAGUUCAUGGCAACAAUUGAUUAUAUCGGAAAGUUAUAUUGUUCCAUAUCAACCAUCAGAAUUAUUUGCAUUUACGUAGUUCGUAACUGAUGUUGGUGAUAUGCGGGCAUUCUGAGAACUUACUCCAGUUAUAGUUCUCAAAACGUUGCCGGUUGAUAUUCUUAGAAGAACAAGAUGAGUCCCUAAUUAAUGAGGUACUCUACUUAAAACCUGGCCUUUAUGUGCUUAUGGAUUUUGUUCCGCGAUGGAUAAUCAUUAUCUUAUUGAAACAAAAUCGUAAACUUAGAGUAAGGGACUAAGGUUCAUAGAAUUCAAACAUGGAGAUUGGAUACUAGAACAUCCCUUAACAACUAUACCAGAAGUUGUGGGGGCAUUUAGUCAAAUGACAAUAAUUAUCAACAUCACCAUUAUAGGACUUAAAUGAAUAAUAUAUCAUAAUAGACGUGAAAACAACACUAGAAUCCAAAGCAGCAGAUAUGACGUAGGUGUAUUCCGCCCACCAUAACUUGUGAAUUUCGCAAAGGUAGAAGACGACGAUUCCAAAAAGUAAUGAAAUUUAUUGAUUUUGCUGGUGGAAUAUCAUUUCCACGCACCUGCAAUGAUGAGGAGCAUGUUAAUGUCGUUAUCCACUUUUGAUGGGGAAUAUA